rnacentral:misc_RNA from 1 species
GAUGAAGAACGUAGCGAAAUGCGAUAAGUAAUGUGAAUUGCAGAAUUCAGUGAAUCAUCGAAUCUUUGAACGCACCUUGCGCUCCUUGGUAUUCCGAGGAGCAUGCCUGUUUGAGUGUCUUGAAGUCAUCAACCCCUUCCGUUUCGCACGGAGGGGUUGGACGUGGGGGCUCUGCUGCCGUGAGGCGGCUCCCCUCAAAUGCAUCGGUUGGGCCUGUGGGUCGAACUCGACUGGGCGUUGUACCAUCCUCGCUCGACAGAGACGUUCCCCUUCUGCGCCCUUCCCCGACCUGCCUAUCAGAGUGGCGGUCAAGCAACAAACUUUGAAAUCUGACCUCAAAUCAGGUAGGACUACCCGCUGAACUUAAGCAUAUCAAUAAGCGGAGGA